UACGUAGGGUGCGAGCGUUGUCCGGAAUCACUGGGCGUAAAGGGCGCGUAGGUGGUUUGAUAAGGGUGUGGUGAAAGUCCGGAGCUCAACUCCGGAUCUGCCGUGCCGACUGUCAAACUCGAGGGCUGUAGAGGCAGACGGAAUUCCGGGUGUAGCGGUGGAAUGCGUAGAGAUCCGGAGGAAGACCGGUGGCGAAGGCGGUCUGCUGGGCAGUUUCUGACACUGAGGCGCGACAGCGUGGGGAGCAAACAGG
rnacentral:rRNA from 1 species